GCAAGUCGAGCGAUGAAGUUUUCUUCGGAAAACGGAUUAGCGGCGGACGGGUGAGUAACACGUGGGUAACCUGCCCUAUAGAGGGGGAUAGCCUUUCGAAAGAGAGAUUAAUACCCCAUAAGAUUGUAGUAUCGCAUGGUACAGCAAUCAAAGGAGUAAUCCGCUAUAGGAGGACCCGCGGCGCAUUAGCUAGUUGGUGAGGUAACGGCUCACCAAGGCGACGAUGCGUAGCCGACCUGAGAGGGUGAUCGGCCACAUUGGGACUGAGACACGGCCCAGACUCCUACGGGAGGCAGCAGUGGGGAAUAUUGCACAAUGGGGGAAACCCUGAUGCAGCAACGCCGCGUGAGUGAUGACGGUCUUCGGAUUGUAAAGCUCUGUCUUCAGGGACGAUAAUGACGGUACCUGAGGAGGAAGCCACGGCUAACUACGUGCCAGCAGCCGCGGUAAUACGUAGGUGGCAAGCGUUGUCCGGAUUUACUGGGCGUAAAGGAAGCGUAGGCGGAUUUUUAAGUGGGAUGUGAAAUACCCGGGCUCAACCUGGGUGCUGCAUUCCAAACUGGGAAUCUAGAGUACAGGAGGGGAGAGUGGAAUUCCUAGUGUAGCGGUGAAAUGCGUAGAGAUUGGGAAGAACACCAGUGGCGAAGGCGACUCUCUGGACUGUAACUGACGCUGAGGCUCGAAAGCGUGGGGAGCAAGCAGGAUUAGAUACCCUGGUAGUCCAC
rnacentral:rRNA from 1 species